rnacentral:rRNA from 1 species
CUGCUGCCUCCCGUAGGAGUCUGGUCCGUGUCUCAGUACCAGUGUGGGGGACCUUCCUCUCAGAACCCCUACGCAUCGUCGCCUUGGUGGGCCGUUACCCCGCCAACAAGCUAAUGCGACGCAUGACCAUCCGUAGCCGGAAUCGCUUCCUUUAAACCCACAGAGAUGCCUCCAUGGGUUGUUACGCGGUAUUAGACGGAAUUUCUUCCGCUUAUCCCCCUGCUACGGGCAGGUUUCAUACGUGUUACUCACCCGUGCGCCGGUCGCCGGCGGG